rnacentral:tRNA from 1 species
GCCCCGUUAGCUCAGCUGGUUAGAGCGUACGACUGUUAAUCGUAAGGUCACAGGUUCGAUCCCUGUAUAGGGCG